CUAAAGUGGCGCGGUUCAGGUGUCCCGACGGCCCCACGCCGAAGGGAUGAAACGGGAAGCCGGUGCGUGGUGUUGAUCACCGCAAGGCCGGCGCUGCCCCCGCAACGGUAAGCGAGAAUCGUCGAUCAGCGAAUGCCACUGUGCUUGCACGGGAAGGCGCUGAUCGAGGCAGGUUUCCCCUGCCACUCGCGAGCCCGGAGACCGGCCUGCACGAUUUCUGGUGG
rnacentral:ncRNA from 2 species